rnacentral:rRNA from 1 species
AACGAACGCUGGCGGCAGGCCUAACACAUGCAAGUCGAGCGGACCCUUCGGGGUUAGCGGCGGACGGGUGAGUAACGCGUGGGAAUAUGCCCUUCUCUACGGAAUAGUCCUGGGAAACUGGGGGUAAUACCGUAUACGCCCUUUGGGGGAAAGAUUUAUCGGGGAAGGAUUAGCCCGCGUUGGAUUAGGUAGUUGGUGGGGUAAUGACCUACCAAGCCGACGAUCCAUAGCUGGUUUGAGAGGAUGAUCAGCCACACUGGGACUGAGACACGGCCCAGACUCCUACGGGAGGCAGCAGUGGGGAAUCUUAGACAAUGGGGGCAACCCUGAUCUAGCCAUGCCGCGUGAGUGAUGAAGGCCUUAGGGUUGUAAAGCUCUUUCAGCUGGGAAGAUAAUGACGGUACCAGCAGAAGAAGCCCCGGCUAACUCCGUG